UAAACCUGCCUCUUAGCGGGGGGUAACUAUUGGAAACGAUAGCUAAUACCGCAUAAAAGUCGAUAUCGCAUGAUGUUGAUUUGAAAGGUGCAAUUGCAUCACUAAGAGAUGGACCUGCGUUGUAUUAGCUAGUUGGUGAGGUAACGGCUCACCAAGGCGACGAUACAUAGCCGACCUGAGAGGGUGAUCGGCCACACUGGGACUGAGACACGGCCCAG
rnacentral:rRNA from 1 species